AUUCAUGUUUACCUUUUUGAAUCACCCUGUUCCCUUGCUCCCUAGGUGUCAGCAGACUAGAGGAGAUAUUGUGAAAUAUUUCCCAAGCCAAGUGGAGCAGAGAGGAAAGGUGGAGAAGUUCACAAAAAAUUUUGGAUUACAUUUCUCACUGGAGCUAAACUGCUGAUCUUGCCAUUGCAGUUGAAGAAGCAAAUCUUCAAGGAUUUAUGUGGUGUUUUGGCAAGCUAAGAACCUCUUGUCUUCCAGAGGAGUGCUGUAUGAGAGUGUUUAGGUCACUUAGCAAAGCGUGGCAUGUCCCCUGCUGCUCCUGCUGCAUGAAAGAGGUGACAUGCUCCUACUGAGCCUGUUGUUACAGCAUUAAUGCUGUGACUCAAAAUGGAAGACUCUCAAUGCAGCAAUUCCCUCAGUAGUGAAGGUUAAACUCGUUGCAUGUGGGCCAGGCUUGAAUCAGCAGGCCCAGCUAGGCCAUGCUUGCACCAGCAGGCCCAGCUGGGCAAGGUUUGCUCCUGCAGGACACAGCAGAUGUGUCUCCACCAGUGAACCCAAGAAUACCAGCCCCAAAGGCAGCAGCUUUCAGGCCUUUCCUGUCCUGUAGGCCAGGAGAGGCAAGACGAGCUUUCCUAUACCAGCUGGUGGUAGGGCCUGGAUCACUCCCAAAACACAUCAGAUCACCAAGGAUAAAAGUAACCAAGGAGUGCAGAGUGCUGCCAGUUCCUUAAGUCAAGAUCAUUAGUGGUCUACAAUGGAUGAGCUAUUCUGCUCAUGACAUGUCACCAGGUGUAAGUCACUGGACAAGAGAGAAUCUGCUCCUAAAGCCCAGCCUUUCAAGGACAGGAGGCUUCAAUUUGGACUAGCUCCACUCCAUGCCUGAGGACUGAACGCUCCUUGGCUGCUGGAGAGCAUGAAGUGCAUUCCUGACCCACAGCUUGCCAAGCCAUGCCCAGCAUUUACGCAGAGGACGGCUCAUCGCCAGGGCUAUAUUAGGGCUGCUAUGAUAUAUGAAGGCUGAGGCAGCAUUUUGUGCUGUCUCCGGUGUGGUAUUUACUUUUUUUUUCUUCUUUUUUUCUUUUGUUGCAUUUCUGUUGAUUUUGCUUCUUGUGUUUCUUGAUGGGCUGUGUCAGCUGCCAUAAUCAUUUGUAAUUUGGAGGAGGAGGGAGCUCCUGGGAAACCGUGACCUGUGGGGUGGGCACCCAGGAAUGUCCUGCAGGUCAGUGGGCUGAGCAAUACUCCCAUGCUAUGGCAAGCAAAGGCCAGGAGUUUUCCUCAUGAAACCCAGAAGAGACUGUUUUAGCUGUGAGAAACAUCUGCUUCUGCUUUAUGCUGAUGAGUACUGUACAGAAAAGGGUUCCUGAGUCUCGUCUUUUUCAAUGUUUUUUGUUGUUGUUGUUGUUGAACUGCAACCUCAGCUACCUACGUAUAAAUGAAAAAUGCCCAAGUCUGCCUAUCCAGUAAAUAAAUAACCAAUAAAAUUGAAACCAACCUUGAUAUACACAAGACCAACCAUGGAAGGUUUCUCUGUAAAGCAUACACGCUGUCAUAACUUCAGGCUAAACAAGUCUGAACCAAGAAGUGUUUUGUCCCAGGUCUGUAUAUUUUAUGGGAAGCUGAUGCUUAUUUUCCAUGGGAAACUAAUUUUUCCAAAGGACAGUUUCAGCUUGGCGGCUCAGCACAGCGCCGCUGUGACAAGCUGCUCUUUUAGCAGUGCUGACAGAUUUUUGAGAAAUAUUUAUUUUUUCAGCUAAGUCAUGAGGCCAGUGACAGGUACAUUCUGGAAUGAAGCUGAAUGCAGGGAAGCAUGCAAGAAAAUAUGGAAGUUGGAGCACAACUUUUUCACUGACUUAGCCAGAUAGGACACAGGUUGAAGCCACAUUUGUGUAGCUCUCAGCAAAAAUGCAUUAAUUAUGGAGUAGUUUAAGUUUGUUCACCAAAUUAAAGAACCUGAAUGGAAGAUUUUGUCAAGUAGACUCAAAAGAUUUUUUUUUUCUUCUUUUUGCCAGUAUGUAAAAUAUAAAUCAUUUUGCUUUAACCUGCAUUUUGGUGCUUGAAAAAAAAAUCAAGUGAAAAAUGCAUUCUAGUUCCAACCGUGACCUCGAUAAGAAAGAAGUUUGAUGCCAGUGAAAAAAAAUGUUUCUGUUUAGCUCUUACCCCAUAACUCUUCUGAAGUCUUACUGCAUCUAGAGGAAUCAUCAAACGGAACACAAUCCAAAUGGCAUAAACACAGUUUUCUCUAAAUUAAAUGUCUUCUAGAACUAGAGUUUUUUCAAAAUAUCAUUCUAUCAAAUAAAAAAUUAGACAUCUGAGCUUGGACAGCUACUCAAA